rnacentral:lncRNA from 1 species
GUGCCAACCUUAUAAAUUCUAAGACAGUAGUUCUUUUAGUCCAUUUCUUUUUCUUUUAUCUAAAUUUUCUGUAAAUUUUGUAACAUACAUAUAAGAGGACUGUUGUUAUAUUGUAUAUCCUGUUAAAGCGUUUCGUUCUCUUUACUUUCACUCCAACAGAAGUUUUCUUUAUUGUUACAUAGCUGACACAUGCAGAUGUCUAGUAGUAGUAGUAUCUGAACUGUUGGACGUACGACCCUUUUAAAGAAACUGUUGCCGUACAUACAGCUACCGACAUCUAUGAGAAGCUCCUGACACUCAAUUUUAAUGCUGGCACUUAUAACCUUUCUUAGGACGACAAGCUGGGCCUUAGAACAUUCCUCCGUCAAUAACUGAAUGGCACCUUGAUUCUUUAUAAUUUCCACUGAAUUCUAAAAUAUUUUCUAUCUAUCAACAGUCAUUAAUGGCAUGCAAAGGACUUAAAAGGAAAGAAUCUAAAUAUUAUUUAUUGUAUUUGUUACUUAUUGUAUAGGUUCAAAAUUUUAAUGAUAUAGAUACUUUAUAAUUUAUAAUUUUCUAUCCAAUCCAAAUUCAUGAAGCGUUCAAUGGAUGGAUAAUUUAGACAAACUUGAAAAUAUAGUUCAAGGAUUGAUGUCAGAAAAAUAAUAUACUAAAUAAAACACAAAUAGUUUGAAAAGUAUUUGAACCUCUCCAAUACGCUAUGUUCCAUUUAAAAUGUUGUAUAAAACAAUCUCGUAUAUAUACAGUUUGUAACUGUCUUUAGGCCACGAAAAUUUUGUAGAAAACAUCAUUUUUCAUUUUUUAAACCAUCUAUUUUUCAACAGAUCAUACAAAAAAGUACUCAUUACAAAACUAAUAAGUACUUUUUUAAUCACAAUAUAUUACAAUCAUCAAUUUUCAUUGAUAUAUAAUGUACAUAAUAUAAAUAAAUUAUUAUUUACAAA